AUUGCCCUAGUAACGGCGAGUGAAGCGGCAACAGCUCAAAUUUGAAAUCUGGCCUCCUUGGGGGUCCGAGUUGUAAUUUGCAGAGGGCGCUUUGGCGUCGGCAGCGGUCUAAGUUCCUUGGAACAGGACGUCACAGAGGGUGAGAAUCCCGUACGUGGUCGCCUGCCUUCGCCGUGUAAAGCCCCUUCGACGAGUCGAGUUGUUUGGGAAUGCAGCUCUAAAUGGGAGGUAAAUUUCUUCUAAAGCUAAAUACUGGCCAGAGACCGAUAGCGCACAAGUAGAGUGAUCGAAAGAUGAAAAGCACUUUGGAAAGAGAGUCAAACAGCACGUGAAAUUGUUGAAAGGGAAGCGCUUGCCGCCAGACGUGCCUGUGGUGGUUCUCCUCCGCGGGCAGGCCAGCAUCAGUUUGGGCGAUCGGAUAAUGGCCUCUGUCAUGUAUCUUCCUUCGGGAUGACCUUAUAGGGGAGGCGUAGUACGACCAGCCCGGACUGAGGUCCGCGCAUCUGCUAGGAUGCUGGCGUAAUGGCUGCAAGCGGCCCGUCUUGAAACACGGACCAAGGAGUCUAACAUCUAUGCGAGUGUUUGGGUGUCAAGCCCGAGCGCGUAAUGAAAGUGAACGGAGGUGGGAACCCUCUCUGGGGGUGCACCAUCGACCGAUCCUGAUGUCUUCGGAUGGAUUUGAGUAAGAGCAUGGCUGUUGGGACCCGAAAGAUGGUGAACUAUGCUUGAAUAGGGUGAAGCCAGAGGAAACUCUGGUGGAGGCUCGCAGCGGUUCUGACGUGCAAAUCGAUCGUCAAAUUUGGGCAUAGGGGCGAAAGACUAAUCGAACUAUCUAGUAGCUGGUUCCUGCCGAAGUUUCCCUCAGGAUAGCAGUAACGUAUUCAGUUUUAUGAGGUAAAGCGAAUGAUUAGAGGCCUGGGGGUUGAAACAACCUUCACCUAUUCUCAAACUUUAAAUAUGUAAGAAGUCCUUGUUACUUGAUUGAACGUGGACAUUUGAAUGUACCGUUACUAGUGGGCCAUUUUUGGUAAGCAGAACUGGCGAUGCGG
rnacentral:rRNA from 1 species